CUGGCUUGCUUGCUCUGGCGCUCACUCUGUCUCUAUCUCUCUCUGGCUUGCUUGGGAAGUAGCUCUCGGGACUGCGUGCACCGCGUGACUUGGUGUGUUCAGUCAGCCUAGCUGUAAGUUGUUCCUUGAGAGCAUUAGUGAUGAGGGCAGAGGUUACCACCUCAGUCUGGAAGUUCCUGCUCUUGACUGUUAGAGACUCUUCUCAGGUACCCAUGAUUGGUUCUUCAAUUAAAAUGUAAUGAGAGGGGGCCCUCCCUGGUGGCACAGCAGGUUGG